GGCGGCGUAGCUCAGAUGGUUAGAGCACACGGCUCAUAAUCGUGUGGUCGUCGGUUCGAAUCCGACCGCCGCUACCA
rnacentral:tRNA from 2 species